UACGGAGGGGGCUAGCGUUGUUCGGAAUUACUGGGCGUAAAGCGCGCGCAGGCGGUCCUUUAAGUCGGGGGUGAAAGCCCAGAGCUCAACUCUGGAACUGCCUUCGAAACUAGAGGACUUGGGUACGGGAGAGGUGAGUGGAAUUCCGAGUGUAGAGGUGAAAUUCGUAGAUAUUCGGAAGAACACCAGUGGCGAAGGCGGCUCACUGGCCCGUUACCGACGCUCAGGCGCGACAGCGUGGGGAGCAAACAGG
rnacentral:rRNA from 1 species